GACUUGUUAUUUCACAAUAAGGCUGGCCAACAUGCGUCAGACUCUUAUUUAUGAGAAAUGUUAAAUCAAUCAAUGAAUCCAUAGCCAGGUCCAGUUUGACAACCUGAAGGCUUUCGCCAGAUCACUUGAACAAAGGACUCUCCAUUGAGCCACUCAUAAUCCUGUCAUUAACAUAUGUUUGCUGUUGCCGCGCCUCCAUCUCCCUCAUUGGCCAGCGAGGGAAUGACAUCACAGGCGGGGCUUGCACUCCCAUUGGAUAGAGCAUGCAAGCCUCCCAGACCGGAGGGAUUUUUCAACAGAGGCUGGAGGGCCAUCUGUCAGGAGGGCUUUAAUUGGGUAUCCCUAUAUGGCAGGAUGGGGUUGGACUAGAUGGCCUUUAGGAGGCUCUUCCAGCUCUGUGGUUGUCUCCUGUACUAUUAUUCCUCUCUCAGGGAUCAAGGAUUUGGAUGGGAGGCCACCUACAAAUCCCAGGCUUUGUGGGCUCAGUUUCAGAGGAAGGAGCUGACAGGCGCACCCCGAGGAUUCCUUGCCUAGGAAAACCUUUUGAAAUUCAUGGUGUCCCUAUAAGUUGACAGGCAUCCUGAAGAAGGUACAGAGAGAGAGACAGAGAUCCUGCAAAAACAUCUCCGGCCUCAUCGUCACCAAACAAGAAACCUGAAACACAGAGAAGUCGAAGCUGCCAGCCGCUUUGACAGCCUACUCUUUUCUUCGACCUGGCAAUCUCCCCCUCCCUAAACAGGGUCCCUUUCAUCUUCAGGGUCUUUUCUAUCUGCUUGACAAAGAACACAACAUCUCCCGAUCCGCAGAAGCCAGAGAACCAGGCUGGAGCCGUCCACACACGAUAGAGCCUCCUGCUUUGAGCCCGAGCCAUGAAGAAGGGCCAGAUCCAUUGUCAAGCGAAGCUGCUUCUCUGAUUAUGAAAUAACCUGGUGACUCCAUUCGUCUUUGGCAGUUCCUUGCAUCCCAUUUGUUGUUUGUGUCUUGCAGACACCUUUCUUCUUCUACAGUGUGGGCUGGAAGGUGGAAUGAACUUGUUUGCUGCUCCUCCAGAGAAUAAAACAUGAAGAGAUGGGUUCCUUCCUUCCAUGAGAAAAGAGAUUCCCUUGAAUCAUAGAAUCCUAGAGCUGGUGUGAUGUGUGGGUUGAAUGAAAUUGUCUGAUUUGGGUCUGGCAAGGGCCUAUUAAGGCUCGCCAAGGCUGAAGGAACCAUCCAUAGAACACUGGAAAUGGCAUCAUGGAGGAGGUGACAACCUGAUUAACUUGCGAUGAUGGAGGAAAGUGAUGAACUGCUGACAUAACUGAUCUGGGAACUUUUGGGGUAAACAACAGGACAUGUUGACUAGA